GCGCAGCAGUCGCGAAAACUCCGCAAUGCGCGAAAGCGCGACGGGGUCACCCCGAGUGCUACCUGCUGAAGGUAGCUUUUGCCUAGUGUAACCAGCUAGGCGAAUAAGAGGAGGGCAAGUCUGGUGUCAGCCGCCGCGGUAAUACCAGCUCCUCGAGUGGUUGGGACGAUUAUUGGGUCUAAAGCAUCCGUAGCCGGCCGAAAAUGUUCUCCGUUAAAUCCAGCGAUCCAAUCGCUGGGCUGCGGGGAAUACUUUUCGGCUUGGGGGCGGGGGAGGUCGGCGGUAGUCCAAGGGUAGGAGCGAAAUCCUAUAAUCCUUGGAGGACCACCAGUGGCGAAGGCGGACGACUAAAACGCGCCCGACGGUGAGGGAUGAAAGCUGGGGGAGCGAACGGGAUUAGAUAUGAAGUUGAGUUUUUACCAGCUUCACUAGAUACCCCGGUAGUCC
rnacentral:rRNA from 1 species